UACGUAGGGUGCAAGCGUUAAUCGGAAUUACUGGGCGUAAAGCGUGCGCAGGCGGUUUUGUAAGUCUGGCGUGAAAUCCCCGGGCUUAACCUGGGAAUUGCGUUGGAGACUGCAAGGCUAGAAUCUGGCAGAGGGGGGUAGAAUUCCACGUGUAGCAGUGAAAUGCGUAGAGAUGUGGAGGAACACCGAUGGCGAAGGCAGCCCCCUGGGUCAAGAUUGACGCUCAUGCACGAAAGCGUGGGGAGCAAACAGG
rnacentral:rRNA from 1 species